rnacentral:rRNA from 1 species
CUACGGGACGCACCAGUGGGGAAUAUUGCACAAUGGGGGAAACCCUGAUGCAGCAACGCCGCGUGGAGGAUGACACAUUUCGGUGCGUAAACUCCUUUUAUAGGUCAAGAUAAUGACGGUAGCCUAUGAAUAAGCGCCGGCUAACUCCGUGCCAGCAGCCGCGGUAAUACGGAGGGCGCAAGCGUUACUCGGAAUCACUGGGCGUAAAGAGCAUGUAGGCGGGUUAAUAAGUCAGAAGUGAAAUCCAAUAGCUCAACUAUUGAACUGCUUUUGAAACUGUUAACCUAGAGUGUGGGAGAGGUAGAUGGAAUUUCUGGUGUAGGGGUAAAAUCCGUAGAGAUCAGAAGGAAUACCGAUUGCGAAGGCGAUCUACUGGAACAUUACUGACGCUGAGAUGCGAAAGCGUGGGGAGCAAACAGGAUUAGAUACCCUCGUAGUC